rnacentral:rRNA from 1 species
AGUGAACGCUGGCGGCAGGCCUAACACAUGCAAGUCGAGCGGCAGCGCGGGGGCAACCCUGGCGGCGAGCGGCGGACGGGUGAGGAAUUCGUCGGAAUCUGCCUUUUUGUGGGGGAUAACGUAGGGAAACUUACGCUAAUACCGCAUACGUCCUACGGGAGAAAGUGGGGGACCGCAAGGCCUCACGCAGAAAGAUGAGCCGACGACCGAUUAGCUAGUUGGUGGGGUAAAGGCCCACCAAGGCGACGAUCGGUAGCUGGUCUGAGAGGAUGAUCAGCCACACUGGGACUGAGACACGGCCCAGACUCCUACGGGAGGCAGCAGUGGGGAAUAUUGGACAAUGGGCGCAAGCCUGAUCCAGCCAUGCCGCGUGUGUGAAGAAGGCCUUCGGGUUGUAAAGCACUUUUGUCCGGAAAGAAAUCCCUGGAGCUAAUACCUUCGGGGGAUGACGGUACCGGAUGAAUAAGCACCGGCUAACUUCGUG